rnacentral:rRNA from 1 species
GACGAACGCUGGCGGCGUGCUUAACACAUGCAAGUCGUACGGUAAGGCCCUUUCGGGGGUACACGAGUGGCGAACGGGUGAGUAACACGUGAGUAACCUGCCCACAACUUUGGGAUAACGCUAGGAAACUGGUGCUAAUACUGGAUAUGUGCUCCUGCUGCAUGGGGGGGGUUGGAAAGCUCCGGCGGUUGUGGAUGGACUCGCGGCCUAUCAGCUUGUUGGUGGGGUAGUGGCCUACCAAGGCGGCGACGGGUAGCCGGCCUGAGAGGGCGACCGGCCACAUUGGGACUGAGAUACGGCCCAGACUCCUACGGGAGGCAGCAGUGGGGAAUAUUGCACAAUGGGCGCAAGCCUGAUGCAGCAACGCCGCGUGCGGGAUGACGGCCUUCGGGUUGUAAACCGCUUUCAGCAGGGACGAAGCUUUUUGUGACGGUACCUGCAGAAGAAGCACCGGCUAACUACGUG